rnacentral:rRNA from 1 species
AACGCGAAGAACCUUACCUGGAUUUGACAUGCAGUUGGCGUAGUGAGAAAUUACUAUUUCCCGCAAGGGACAAUUGCACAGGUGCUGCAUGGCUGUCGUCAGCUCGUGCCGUGAGGUGUUGGGUUAAGUCCCGCAACGAGCGCAACCCUUGUCGUUAGUUGCCAGCACGUAAUGGUGGGCACUCUAGCGAGACUGCCCGGGUUAACCGGGAGGAAGGUGAGGAUGACGUCAAGUCCGCAUGGCCUUUAUGUCCAGGGCUACACACGUGCUACAAUGGUCGGUACAGAAGGCAGCAAAACCGUGAGGUGGAGCAAAUCGUAAAAACCGGCCCCAGUUCGGAUUGUAGUCUGCAACUCGACUACAUGAAGAUGGAAUUGCUAGUAAUGGCGGGUCAGCAACACCGCCGUGAAUACGUUCCCGGGCCUUGUACACACCGGCUAC